ACAGAGGGGGCGAGCGUUGUUCGGAAUUACUGGGCGUAAAGGGCGCGUAGGCGGCCGACUAAGUCAGACGUGAAAUCCCCUGGCUCAACCAGGGAACUGCGUCUGAUACUGAUUGGCUUGAGUCCGGGAGAGGGAAGUGGAAUUCCAGGUGUAGCGGUGAAAUGCGUAGAUAUCGGAAGGAACACCAGUGGCGAAAGCGGCUUCCUGGUCCAGCACCGACGUUCAGGCACGAAAGCGUGGGGAGCAAACAGGA
rnacentral:rRNA from 1 species